rnacentral:rRNA from 1 species
UACGUAGGGACCAAGCGUUGUCCGGAAUCAUUGGGCGUAAAGAGCGUGUAGGCGGCUUGUUAAGUCUUGCGUGAAAUCUCGGGGCUCAACCCCGAGCGGUCGUGAGAAACUGGCAGGCUAGAGUGCGGGAGAGGAGAGUGGAAUUCCUGGUGUAGCGGUGAAAUGCGCAGAUAUCAGGAAGAACACCCGUGGCGAAGGCGGCUCUCUGGAACGCAACUGACGCUGAGACGCGAAAGCGUGGGGAG